ACGUUCACGUUUGGAUUAUGGCGUUGAGCUCAAGGACACUAUAAUGAUGGGAGCAGACUAUUACCAAACCGAAUCUGAAAUUGCUUCUGAGCUAGCAGAGGGAAAGGUUCCGAUUGGGAUUGGAAGGAACAGCAAAACCAGGUAAUCUUACUUGCAGUAACCACAUUUCAAUUGAACUCAUUAUGUUGGGUAUUCAUUUGAUAUUUGUUGUUUCUUGUCUUUGUUGAAGGAAGUGUAUAAUAGACAAGAAUGCUAGGAUUGGGAAAGAUGUCAUCAUCAUGAACAAAGAUGGUGUUCAAGAAGCAGAUAGACCUCGGGAUGGUUUUUACAUCCGAUCAGGAAUCACAAUCGUGAUGGAGAAGGCAACAAUAGAGGAUGGCACUAUCAUAUGACUUAUAGAGUAUUCCAACCAGCU